UACGAAGGGGGCUAGCGUUGCUCGGAAUCACUGGGCGUAAAGGGUGCGUAGGCGGGUCUUUAAGUCAGGGGUGAAAUCCUGGAGCUCAACUCCAGAACUGCCUUUGAUACUGAGGAUCUUGAGUUCGGGAGAGGUGAGUGGAAUUGCGAGUGUAGAGGUGAAAUUCGUAGAUAUUCGCAGGAACACCAGUGGCGAAGGCGGCUCACUGGCUCGAUACUGACGCUGAGGUGCGAAAGCGUGGGGAGCAAACAGG
rnacentral:rRNA from 1 species